UAGGGAAUCUUCCACAAUGGGCGCAAGCCUGAUGGAGCAACACCGCGUGAGUGAAGAAGGGUUUCGGCUCGCAAAGCUCUGUUGUUAAAGAAGAACACGUAUGAGAGUAACUGUUCAUACGUUGACGGUAUUUAACCAGAAAGUCACGGCUAACUACGUGCCAG
rnacentral:rRNA from 1 species